rfam:Phyllobacterium sp. YR531 PMI41_contig_31.31, whole genome shotgun sequence.
GUUUUAUCCCGUGGUGAUUUGGCCGGCCGGCUUGCAGCCACGUAAAAUAAUUUGCUAAAAGAGGCCCGGUAUCGUCCGGC